UUGCUAUUGCUCAGUGAAUCAUGCUCUGAGAAUCUUCACAACAUUCAAGGCUAUGUCCAUAAAAUUCUGCAAACUGCGGAUGCAUUCCAUACUUCAUCAGAUGGUUUACAAAAAAAUUUUAAAAAUCAACUCAAAAUCCUACAAAUUUUCAACAGGCUGUGGACUGGGAAUAACAUAUGAGAACAAUACGUGAUUGACAAAUUGUCUCUAAAGGAAUCUGCAGUAAAGACCAGCAGACCUCCAGUACAAGAAUAAAGAGCCAUCUUUAUCCAUGUAUGUCAUCAUCUGGGUUCAUCAAUCUACAACCAGGUCAUCUGUACUCUGCAGGAGUUCAGAACAGUCAUCCGCAAUAUAUUUCAAAAGGUCUGCUAACAAGGGGUCAAGUCCAGAUGGUCUACUCUCCAUCAAGACAAGAAAUCAGACAAGAAAUCUAAGGGAGGAGGGAGGGGACUUCAGGGCUAUCAUUCAUUGUAUGGGGUUUCUUAUUUUGUGGAUGUCUGUGAAGAGUAUGAAUUUGGCAUUGUAUACUGUAGUUUCUCUAAUA